rnacentral:rRNA from 1 species
AUUGAACGCUGGCGGCAGGCUUAACACAUGCGAGUCGAGCGGGGAAAGGUAGCUUGCUACCGGACCUAGCGGCGGACGGGUGAGUAAUGCUUAGGAAUCUGCCUAUUAGUGGGGGACAACAUCUCGAAAGGGAUGCUAAUACCGCAUACGUCCUACGGGAGAAAGCAGGGGACCUUCGGGCCUUGCGCUAAUAGGUGAGCCUAAGUCGGAUUAGCUAGUUGGUGGGGUAAAGGCCUACCAAGGCGACGAUCUGUAGCGGGUCUGUGAGGAUGAUCCGCCACACUGGGACUGAGACACGGCCCAGACUCCUACGGGAGGCAGCAGUGGGGAAUAUUGGACAAUGGGGGGAACCCUGAUCCAGCCAUGCCGCGUGUGUGAAGAAGGCCUUUUGGUUGUAAAGCACUUUAAGCGAGGAGGAGGCUACCGAGAUUAAUACUCUUGGAUAGUGGACGUUACUCGCAGAAUAAGCACCGGCUAACUCUGUGCCAGCCGCCGCAGUAAGAC